UUAUAUUAUGACUUUUGUCCACAAUAACAUCGUAGAUAUUUUCAAGAACCUUUCAUCAAUCAAAUUGUAAGGGUCAGUAACUGAUCAGACAUAAGAAUGAAAAGUAAGAAUGUGCAAAACACAACAUAUCUUGAAUUAUGGGGAGAAUGGAGGUUUCUAUGAAAAUUAGUGAGAUUGGAGAUAGAAAAACGUAUUAUGAAUAAUGAAUCUGUUUUAGGUUACAGAGUCUGCAAAGAUGCCCCAAAGCCCAAGCAGAAGUGUUCAGGAGGCUGCUUAGAACCACAAGGUGGUGUUUUGGUUUCUUUUCUUAUUACUAGGACAAAAUAUCUGGCAUCCAAAAUCAAAGAGGGAAGGUUUAUUUAGCUCACAGUUUGUAGAGGUUGAAACCUCUGAAGUUCAUGGUUGGCUGGCUCCAAGGCAGGUGGCACGGCAAGGGGCACCGCGAGGAGAAGCCAUUCGCAGCAGGCAGAAGGUAGCAAGUGGCCCUGUGGCUGAAUCCAACCAGAAGCCACAUGGAAGGAGACCUACGGUGCAGAUGUGGAGAAGGAUUCGCUCUGGUGCAUGAUAAAGAAAAGGACAAAUGUUGGCAAGUUACCCAAGAUAUCCAGAUGAGAGAAGAUGCUGGCUCAGGUCAGAGCCAGAGCACCAGAGGGAGACAUCUUUCACCGAAGAACCCUUCAGUUCUCAGGCUAACCGUCAGAUGAAAAUAUGUACAUAUUCCUGGGCAAUCAAACAGCUGAGUCACUUGGCCAAGAAAGUCCAGAAAAUCAAAUUUUAAAGAGGUCUGGGUUCCAGAAAUGUGAAUAAAUGUAUGAAAUUGAGAAAGAAUUGUGAAGACCCUUGUAUUUGUUACACAUAAAUAGUCAUGAGAGAGGAGUUGCCAGUUGUCAUCGACUCUGUCACUAUAUUCCAGCAUCCAAUCAUUGGUCUAUGAAUGGUGGAGCCCUGGAAAUAAGAAUGGAGACAUGGGAUGGCCAAUAAAUAACAUGAUCCUGCCCUCAGCGCAGAUCUAGCCACUCGUGCUGACAAACAUUCAGUAAGUCAACAACAGAGAUCAGUGCAGAUCCUCAACCCUACUCAGGUUUGGCAUUAACCCUUAAGACUAAUCAGACACAGUGGAAAGCUGUCGAUCACUAGUUCACUUUGAUAGGAACUGAUUCGCAUUUCUGAUUUGAGUUUGUCCUUUUUUUGCUGACAGAAUUUCAACUAAUAUCACUAUCUGUGGUUUUAGGGUAGAAUUUCAACUCGAUUGGCUUUGGGAUCCUCCCCCGGGGAAUUGGUGGAGCACACUUCUAGGUGUAUCCAUCGGGUGGGUCAUGGAGGUAUGGCCUUUGGUCCCUUGCUCUUUCAUCUCUGGCUUCUUCCUCUGCUUUGUUUCCCGGCUGCCAUGAACUAAGAAGCUUUGCUCCACCGCUCUUGUACUAUUAUGUCUCUGCUUUACGGCCAGCUGG